rnacentral:lncRNA from 1 species
GAUACUGCCACGUUGGAAGAACCACAAAAGGAGGCCGAAUGCGUUGAGAGAUACACAAGUGGAUCAGUAAGAUGACAGCUGCUGCAUUGAAAUCGGGAUUGUAAUAUGUCAGUUUCCAGCCCAUCACAUAUAAUCCAGACAGAGACAUAGCUUUUCGUCUGCCUCGUUAUGAUUUCCCUCUGUCUGGUGCGGUUUGGGUCACAUCUGUUGGCUGCAUUCUCAUAUUCAUGAGAUCUGCAUUGACUGAUAGUUUAAACCCUGUGUUUAUCUAUGUCUGUGGUUCUUAUUUCUCUCCCAGGGAAGUCUCCAGAGAAGCACAGUAUCCCCUGAUGCGGGUAUCUUGGUUUCAUUAACCCACCGUUGGUGCGUCCUUUCAGCCACUUCUGUAUGUUUCAUGC